rnacentral:rRNA from 1 species
AACGAACGCUGGCGGCAUGCCUAACACAUGCAAGUCGAACGAGACCUUAGGGUCUAGUGGCGCACGGGUGCGUAACGCGUGGGAACCUGCACUUAGGUUCGGAAUAACUCCCCGACAGGGGUGCUAAUACCGGAUAAUGUCUUCGGACCCAAGAUUUAUCGCCUUUGGAUGGGCCCGCGUUGUAUUAGCUUGUUGGUAGGGUAAGAGCCUACCACGGCGACGAUCCAUAGCUGGUCUGAGAGGAUGAUCAGCCACACUGGGACUGAGACACGGCCCAGACUCCUACGGGAGGCAGCAGUGGGGAAUAUUGGACAAUGGGCGAAAGCCUGAUCCAGCAAUGCCGCGUGAGUGAUGAAGGCCGGAGAGUUGUAAAGCUCUUUUACCCGGGAUGAUAAUGACAGUACCGGGAGAAUAAGCUCCGGCUAACUCCGUG